CUACGGGGGCUCCAGUGAGGAAUAUUGCACAAUGGGGGGAACCCUGAUGCAGCAACGCCGCGUGGAGGAUGACGCAUUUCGGUGUGUAAACCCCUUUUCUCAGGGAAGAAUAAUGACGGUACCUGAGGAAUAAGUCUCGGCUAACUACGUGCCAGCAGCCGCGGUAAUACGUAGGAGGCGAGCGUUAUCCGGAUUUACUGGGCGUAAAGAGGGCGUAGGCGGUUUUUCAAGUCGGAUGUAAAAUCUCCCGGCUUAACUGGGAGGGCGCAUUCGAUACUGUUGGACUUGAGGGCAGCAGAGGAAAGCGGAAUUCCCGGUGUAGUGGUGAAAUGCGUAGAUAUCGGGAGGAACACCAGUGGCGAAGGCGGCUUUCUGGGCUGCAUCUGACGCUGAGGCCCGAAAGCGUGGGGAGCGAACAGGAUUAGAUACCCCCGUAGUC
rnacentral:rRNA from 1 species